UUAAGUUCAGCGGGUAUCCUUAUCUGAUUUGAGGUCAAACUUCAGUCCACAAAAGGGACAUCGGGUUUAACGCCACUCCCCAACACUAGAUUAUGAAAAAAUGUAAACACCAACUUCAUAAAACCUAGCAAUAGCUUACGGUCGUACAGCAAGUUUAAAGUGGAGGCGAGCUAUAAGCUCGGGCCUCACGCCCAAUACCA
rnacentral:misc_RNA from 1 species